rfam:Schistosoma haematobium scaffold857_3, whole genome shotgun sequence.
AUCCAGCUGACGAGUCCCUAAUAGAACAAAACAUGCGUCCUCGAU